AUUAACUUAGCAAAAAAUAAUGUAUCAAUUUUAGAAUUUGAAGAUGAAAUUUUUCAGUUAAUA
rnacentral:tRNA from 1 species